AAAUAAAGCUAGAUAUAUUCAAAGUUUCAAAAUAUAACAUAUCGAAAAGAAAAUUGAAUAUUUGUUAAUCUAAUUAUUCAGUUAUUUUUAUUUGAUAUUAUUAUUGGAUGAGAUAUAAUAUGGUGUUAAUGUAACUACAUUUUAACUUAUUUUUUUAUUAGUAAAGAGUAAUGCCACAUUUAUAAGUUUAUUUUCUAAUUAAACAAAUAUUUGAUUUAUUAUUUUUUUGAAUUCAUAAUUUUUUUUGCGGAUUUACAGAAAUAAAUUCAUAUCCAAUCCAUUAAUUCACAAUCAAAUUUUUGUGGAGCGAUUAUGGAUCGAAUUUUUACAAAUCAAAUAGAUUGAGCAUAUCAUAAUAGAUUCUGAUAUUGGCACUCUCUAAAUGCCUCUUAAAACUCUACUAUAGCACUCUUUAAGUAAUUAAGAUAAAUAAUUCAUCUUCUUCCCUAACAAAAUCCCUCAUUUUCUUGUAUCAGCGUGCAGUACCAAGGUAUGAUUUUUUAGCAAUCAAGAACUAAGUAUUAGACUGAGUGCCCGUUUGGUAUGGCUUAUUUAAGAGCGAUAAGGGCUUAUUUAAUCGUAUAAGCACUUUUUAAAAAUUUUUAUAGUGUUUGGUUAUUUUUUUAGUAGAGUUCUUUUAGCUUAAAUAAGCUAAUUUACCUCUACUAGCAAAAGCCCAAAAUUUGAGCUUUUGGGAGUAGAGGUUAUAAAGCUUUUUUAAAAAUAUAUAAUAUAAAAAAUAUCACACAGUUUAAUGGUUCAAAAGUGCAUUUUUUAUUGACAACCAAACACCCAAUGACUUUUUGUCCAAAAGCUCUAUUAGUAUAAGCUCUACUGUUAUAAGCUCUAUUUAAUAAGCUGUACCAAACGGAGCAUGAGUAAAGUUGCUAGUUUUAUCAUGAGUUAUCAUUUAUCAGAUGUUCUUGGCUCUUGCAAAAAACGUAGCCAAUAAAGAGAUGGUUGUUGUCUUUUAAGGAGUUUUGCCUAUAACUCCAUUCUCGAAUAAGCCGAUCAAAACUUCAAGCUAUUAUAAGCCGUAUUGGGCCUUUAAUUCAGGGAAAUUGUGGCCUUUAAUUUAGGGAAACUCUCUCCCAAUCAUAUAAAAAAAUGUAACUCCUAUGAGUUUUUAAUAAUAUCUCAUAAUCACUGUAAGUUUUAGUUUCAUAUCAAUCAAUUAUUUUUCCAUUAACUCUAUUAAUUACCAUAAUAAAAAUUCUAAGUAAAAGACUGUUUGUCAAUAGAUUCAUUUAAGCAAAUAAGGAGGAUCUAAGAGUUAAAUAGUCUUUUAUCUUAAAUUAUUUGAUGAUGGGUAACUAAAUUAUAGAAAAGUAAUUGAUUGAUAUGAAACUAAAACUCGAGAUAAUUCUAGGAUAUUAUCACAGUCAUUAUGACUUUUUAUUCUUUUAAUAUUCUUGAGGUGGUUGAGAAAUAAUUUUCAUUUAAUUUAUAGGCUUGGUCCUUUAAUAUUUGGCCCUCACACUACUUGUUUGUUUUCUAAAAUAUUCGUAUAUAUAAUCUUAUUUUUAUUUCGAUGCUUGUAUAAAAUUACUCCAUAAUUACUAGAAUACUUCCCACACAGGCAUAAUAAAGUUUAAUCUCAUAAAUAGUUUUCUAUUUCUAUCCCCCAUGGAGAACUACAUCAUUGUCUAAGUGUACGUUUGAUUAUCCAAAAUAUACUGAGGUUGAUUUUAUUAUCAAAAGCGUAGAUGAAAUACUCACUCGUGAAAUCUUAGAUAACCAUUUUUUUUUUUCUGUUUUGGGGAAAAAAUAAAAAGUUACCAUGAUAUUAAGGGGUGCCUUCGAGUUCUGGAAGUUAGAAUGAAAUAUUUACAAAUUUUAAGUGUUUUAACUUUUCAAUUCACAUAGUGUAUGUUGCAAAUUGCAUAUACUCAUAUGAAAAAUAAGCUUUCAUGAAUGCAUGGUAGGAAAGCCUCUGGUUAAACGCAGGAUAAACAUGCCCAAUUCAGCAUCGAAGCAAGAAAAUUAUUAAUCACAUUAGUUAUUAAUUUGUCUUACUAAACCGUAAACUGCAAAUAUUGUUGGGGCAAAAGUUUUACGUUUUGGUUUACUAUUUAUCAUCGAAAUUAAUUUAUCUCUUUAAUAAGUAAGCCAAAUUCAUUGUGUGUUACUCACUUUGUAUUAGGCCAACAAGUAUUCGUGAUGAGUUGUUUUAGAUUAUUUGUAAAAUGCAACUACUACUUUUUACCAAACUGAGAAGUUUGUUGUGAUUCUUUUUUACAAAUGCAAGAACUUUCACAGUAUUUAUCUAGUUAUUUUGAGCAUUGUAUUAUGUACUGAAUUAUUUCGCAUUAUAAAACAAAAAAGAAGAUAAGAGGGGUGGGGUUUGUUAUUUUACAUGAUGAUAUAAGAAACAUGACUCUUCCACAGUUCGUUUGAUAAAAAUCCAACGGUCGUGGGAAUAUAAGAUAAUAAAAUUAUAUUAUUUCCACAACCCUUGGGUUUUCAUCAGAUGGUUGUGGAAGAGUCAUGUUUCUUAUAUUAUCAUGUAAGAUAACUAGAGCCUAACAGAGGAGAAAUAAAAAAGAACAUCCGUACGCACAUGCAGUAUGGUGGACUUAAUAUAUAGCUGCUUAAUUAAGAGAUAGUUCAGCAGAUAAAUCAUUUAGUAAAUGGCCCUAACAAACUUUACCAAAUCUAAUUGGAAUAUCAAAUUAAUGAGAUGUUAUACGUUGCAACCUUAAUGAAAAACUGAUGAACGCAAGCAUAAGAAAAUAAGAGUACAUUUGUGGCAUACUUUCACUACCAGAAAAAAAUAGACAACAAUAAUUUAGUACCUUGGAUGCUAUGUGUGUUUAAAAAUAUAGUAUUUAACAACAUUCAAAUCUCAUACGUUGUUAACACCCACUGAACAAAUAAGCAAGUAUAAACAAUAAAACAGAACAAAAUUUGACGGUUGCAAUUACACGUAAUAAUCUUUUUGUUAAAAGAAUGAAAAUAAAAAUAAAACAAUGGCACCAAUAAAUUGUAGAUUUGAGGUCCAGCUGCAUGCUUUACGAGUAACACAGUAACACACUAUAUCCUCUUUAGUUUUUUUUUAUUUUUUAAUUUCUACCUACCUUAGAAUUGAGAAAUAUCCUAUAGAUUAUAGAUAGCCACGUCAUAUUAUUGGGAAAAUGAUAUGGCGAAAACAGUUAUUAUGACUAUUUUUCAUGUUGAAUUUUAAUCCAGAAACCAGAAGUAUUUAUAUUAAAAAAAAAAACUCAGAGGUAUUUUUUUUGGGCUUCUACUUGACAACUAAAGGUUGAAAGAAGCCGAUCAAAACUUCAAAGCUGUUAUAGGCCGUAUUGGGCAUGUAAUUUAUCGGCCGGCCGACUUAGUCCUCAGAAGUUUCGGGAAAAAGGAUGCAAUGCCGUCUUUCUUCAAUGCACACACUCCCUCUUAUAACAUUAAUCCUGUUAUCUUGAGCAUUGUAUUAAGAAAUACGGACAAGUUUGCAUUUUUGAAAAAUAAUAAUAAUAAUAAACUUCCGUCAUGUUUGGAAUUUAGAUGCUGUAACUU
rnacentral:lncRNA from 1 species